AACGAACGCUGGCGGCAGGCCUAACACAUGCAAGUCGAGCGGAUCCUUCGGGGUUAGCGGCGGACGGGUGAGUAACGCGUGGGAACGUGCCCUUUGCUUCGGAAUAGCCCUGGGAAACUGGGAGUAAUACCGGAUACGCCCUUUUGGGGAAAGAUUUAUCGGCGAAGGAUCGGCCCGCGUUGGAUUAGGUAGUUGGUGGGGUAAUGGCCUACCAAGCCGACGAUCCAUAGCUGGUUUGAGAGGAUGAUCAGCCACACUGGGACUGAGACACGGCCCAGACGCCGAGGGGAGGCGGCAGGGGGGAGUCAGAGAAGAUGGGGAACCCCGUGAUAUAGCGAGGGCGCGUGGGCUAGGGCGGCUGGAGGUUUGUAAAGGUCGGACACUGGGGAAGAAAAGGACGAUAGGAGGGGAAGAAGCCCGGGCUAACUCCGCGCUAGCAGCGGCGUUAAGGGUGGAAGAGCACACGUAUGAAC
rnacentral:rRNA from 1 species